UACGGGGGGGGGCAAGCGUUGUUCGGAAUUACUGGGCGUAAAGGGCUCGUAGGCGGCCAACUAAGUCAGACGUGAAAUCCCCAGGCUCAACCUGGGAACUGCGUCUGAUACUGGAUGGCUUGAAUCCGGGAGAGGGAUGCAGAAUUCCAGGUGUAGCGGUGAAAUGCGUAGAUAUCUGGAGGAAUACCGGUGGCGAAGGCGGCCACCUGGACGGUAACUGACGCUGAGACGCGAAAGCGUGGGGAGCAAACAGG
rnacentral:rRNA from 1 species